rnacentral:lncRNA from 1 species
UCACAACUUAUAAUUUUAUUAUAAUUUUUUUUUGUCAACUUGAAUUUUCAUUUCUGAAAAAGCCCAAAGGGCAUGAUACAGAGGAAAGAUAAAGCCCAUCCCGUUCCCAUUUACAACUUUGAUUAAAGAUAACCAUGCUUAAUCUACUCCUAAGCAAGAGAAAGAUUAAGAACAUUAUUAAAGUGCCACAUGUGGACACGUACAAGACACGCGUCACACUGUGAGACAACGGGACAUGCAAACGAAUCGGCGUCGGAAAACCCACGAUCCUCCUUAGCACCUUCGCCAGACUUUUUCUUCAACUCCAUAUCUUACGAAGCAUCUCCAUGUUCGCCUUCUUCACUCGCCUUCCGUCUUCCUUCAUCUCCGGCUGAAGCGCAUCCACGUCCUCGACCACCAUGGUCGAAGAUCUUCUGCCGCCCACUAAGGACUGCGGCUAAGCAGACGCGACAUUACUCAGACCAAGGUCGAUGAUUCCGACGUCAGUGAGUUCGGUUGGUAUGUAGAUAAAUCCAGAAGAGCUUCAUCUGUAAACCAAAGUCCGAUCAUGUCGGAAUAUUUAUUUAAUCAACACAAAUCAGGGAAAGAUGAAGAACAUAAGAGAACAUCCCUGAUUUGGUUGAAACAUCUCAACAAAAACAAAAUCGAGUUGAAAUCUAAACUUAUUUAACAAAGAUUCAACUCGAAAAUAAAGAAAUCUCUUCUCCUCUCUACAAAUCAUCAGAUUGAAAAACAGAGAGAGGAAAAACAAAAGAAGAGAAACUGAAACUAAUUUUAAUUUUAUUAUUUUUAAGUGAGAAAAUAACUAUAGU